rnacentral:misc_RNA from 1 species
GGAGUAAAAGUCGUAACAAGGUUUCCGUAGGUGAACCUGCGGAAGGAUCAUUAUUGUAUAACCGAGGUGCGAGGGCUGUCGCUGACCCGAAAGGUCGUGCACGCCCGAGUGCCCUCACACACAUCCAUCUCACCCCUAUGUGCACCACCGCGUGGGUCCCCCUUUGGCUUGUUCGGAGGGGGGCUUACGUUUUCACACAAACUUUGUAUGCAGUGUAGAAUGUAUUUUUUGUUUUUGCGAUCACGCAAUCAAUACAACUUCCAACAACGGAUCUCUUGGCUCUC